CGGAGGGAGCUAGCGUUGUUCGGAAUUACUGGGCGUAAAGCGCACGUAGGCGGCUUUGUAAGUUAGAGGUGAAAGCCUGGAGCUUAACUCCAGAACUGCCUUUAAGACUGCAUCGCUUGAAUCCAGGAGAGGUGAGUGGAAUUCCGAGUGUAGAGGUGAAAUUCGUAGAUAUUCGGAAGAACACCAGUGGCGAAGGCGGCUCACUGGACUGGUAUUGACGCUGAGGUGCGAAAGCGCGGGGAGCAAACAGGAUUAGAUACCCUGGUAGUCCACGCCGUAAACGAUGAUAACUAGCUGUCCGGGGACUUGGUCUUUGGGUGGCGCAGCUAACGCAUUAAGUUAUCCGCCUGGGGAGUACGGCCGCAAGGUUA
rnacentral:rRNA from 1 species